rnacentral:rRNA from 1 species
AUACGUAGGGAGCGAGCGUUGUCCGGAAUUACUGGGUGUAAAGGGAGCGUAGGCGGGAGUGCAAGUCAGAUGUGAAAUACAUGGGCUCAACCCAUGGGCUGCAUUUGAAACUGCAUUUCUUGAGUGAAGUAGAGGUAAGCGGAAUUCCUGGUGUAGCGGUGAAAUGCGUAGAUAUCAGGAGGAACACCGGUGGCGAAGGCGGCUUACUGGGCUUUUACUGACGCUGAGGCUCGAAAGCGUGGGGAGCAAACAGGAUUAGAUACCCUGGUAGUCCACGCUGUAAACGAUGGAUACUAGGUGUGCGGGGACUGACCCCCUGCGUGCCGGAGUUAACACAUUAAGUAUCCCACCUGGGGAGUACGAUCGCAAGAUUGAAACUCAAAUGAAUUGACGGGG